GAAGCGGUGGUGGUGUCCUCUGCGGACUUCACAGCCCCAGGGGUCUCUG
rnacentral:tRNA from 11 species